GGCGUGCUUAACACAUGCAAGUCGAGCGGUAAGGCCCUUCGGGGUACACGAGCGGCGAACGGGUGAGUAACACGUGAGUAACCUGCCCCUGACUCUGGGAUAAGCCCGGGAAACCGGGUCUAAUACCGGAUAUGACUCCUGCUCGCAUGGGUGGGGGUGGAAAGGUUGGUUUUCCUUCCGGUCGGGGAUGGGCUCGCGGCCUAUCAGCUUGUUGGUGGGGUGACGGCCUACCAAGGCGAUGACGGGUAGCCGGCCUGAGAGGGCGACCGGCCACACUGGGACUGAGACACGGCCCAGACUCCUGCGGGAGGCAGCAGUGGGGAAUAUUGCGCAAUGGGCGGAAGCCUGACGCAGCGACGCCGCGUGGGGGAUGAAGGCCU
rnacentral:rRNA from 1 species